rnacentral:rRNA from 1 species
UACGUAGGGGCCAAGCGUUGUCCGGAUUUAUUGGGCGUAAAGAGCGUGUAGGCGGCUUUGCAAGUCCGUUGUGAAAACUCGAGGCUCAACCUCGAGACGCCGGUGGAAACUGCAAAGCUAGAGUCCGGAAGAGGAGAGUGGAAUUCCUGGUGUAGCGGUGAAAUGCGCAGAUAUCAGGAAGAACACCCGUGGCGAAGGCGGCUCUCUGGGACGGUACUGACGCUGAGACGCGAAAGCGUGGGGAGCGAACAGG